rnacentral:rRNA from 1 species
CGCUGAGGGAUGGGCCUGCGGCUGAUUAGCUAGUUGGGAGGGUAAAAGCCUACCAAGGCGAAGAUCGGUAGCCGGCCUGAGAGGGCACACGGCCACACUGGCACUGAAACACGGGCCAGACUCCUACGGGAGGCAGCAGUGGGGAAUCUUGCACAAUGGGGGCAACCCUGAUGCAGCGACGCCGCGUGAGCGAUGAAGCCCUUCGGGGUGUAAAGCUCUUUCGGCAGGGAAGAAAGAUGACGGUACCUGCAGAAGCAGCUGCGGCUAACUACGUGCCAGCAGCCGCGGUAAUACGUAGGCAGCGAGCGUUGUUCGGAGUUACUGGGCGUAAAGGGUGUGUAGGCGGUCGUUUAAGUUUGGUGUGAAAUCUCCCGGCUCAACUGGGAGGGUGCGCCGAAUACUGAGCGGCUAGAGUGCGGGAGAGGAGAGUGGAAUUCCUGGUGUAGCGGUGAAAUGCGUAGAUAUCAGGAGGAACACCGGCGGUGUAGACGGCUCUCUGGACCGUAACUGACGCUGAGACACGAAAGCGUGGGUAGCAAACAGGAUUAGAUACCCUGGUAGUCCACGCCCUAAACGAUGCAUAUUUGGUGUGGGCAGUUCAUUCUGUCCGUGCCGGAGCUAACGCGUUAAAUAUGCCGCCUGGGGAGUACAGUCGCAAGGCUGAA